ACGCACGCUGGCGGCGUGCUUAACACAUGCAAGUCGCACGGUGAAGCCCUUCGGGGUGGAUCAGUGGCGAACGGGUGAGUAACACGUGAGCAACCUGCCCCUGGCUCUGGGACAACCACUGGAAACGGUGGCUAAUACCGGAUACGACCCGCCUCGGCAUCGAGUGUGGGUGGAAAGUUUUUCGGCUGGGGAUGGGCUCGCGGCCUAUCAGCUUGUUGGUGAGGUGAAGGCUCACCAAGGCGACGACGGGUAGCCGGCCUGAGAGGGCGACCGGCCACACUGGGACUGAGACACGGCCCAGACUCCUACGGGAGGCAGCAGUGGGGAAUAUUGCACAAUGGGCGAAAGCCUGAUGCAGCGACGCCGCGUGAGGGAUGACGGCCUUCGGGUUGUAAACCUCUUUCAGCUCCGAAGAAGCGAAAGUGACGGUAGGAGCAGAAGAAGCACCGGCUAACUACGUG
rnacentral:rRNA from 1 species